CGCCCCUUGAUUUAAAACCAUAGGGGGUACUGCCUGCCCAGUGAUAAAUAUUCAACGGCCGCGGUAUUAUGACCGUGCAAAGGUAGCGUAAUCACUUGUCUUUUAAAUAAAGACCAGUAUGAAUGGCAAAACGAAAGCUUAACUGUCUCCCUAAAUUGAUUAAUGAAAUUGAUCUCCCCGUGCAGAAGCGGGAAUAGUACUAUAAGACGAGAAGACCCUAUGGAGCUUUAAAUUUAAAUUAAUUAUAUCUAAUAAAGUAUAAUAAAUAAUAUAAACAAAAAUUUUAGGUUGGGGCGACCACGGAGCAAACUUUAACCUCCGAGAUAAGUAAUUAAGAACUACAUUUCAAAAUAAUAAAAUAUUAGUAUAUUUGAUCCAAUAUUUGAUCAACGAACUAAGUUACCCUAGGGAUAACAGCGCAAUCUCCUCAAAGAGUUCAUAUCGAUGAGUAGGUUUACGACCUCGAUGUUGGAUCAGGACUUCCUAAUGGUGCAGCAACUAUUAAAGGUUCGUUUGUUCAACGAUUAAAGUCCU
rnacentral:rRNA from 1 species